AUCCAGCUGACGAGCCCCAAAUAGGACGAAAACGCGUGUCCUGGAU
rfam:Schistosoma mattheei strain Denwood, Zambia genome assembly, scaffold: SMTD_scaffold0003937